AACAGCGGCCAGAGGCAUGCUGGGAAGCAGGUGACACAAAGAAGGCUCUUGAGGCCCUAGACUCAUAUACCUUCCCUCCUCCUUGGUCCCAAUACCUAGAUCCCUCCUCAAAGCCACCUCCUCCCCCGGUCUCUUGGGUCUCCAGGCCAAGGUUCUGCUCACACUCACACACUGCAGAAGCCCAAGGACUCCACCGAGUUAGACUCACUCUCCUCCCCCUCUCCCAGGCUGGGCUGGGAGGCGACUGUCUCAGGCCUGAACACACCCACCACCUACAGCUCUCUUCCCUAAGGACCAAGGCACGGGUAACCAGAGGACAGAGGACACUCAGACA
rnacentral:lncRNA from 1 species